rnacentral:rRNA from 1 species
AACGAACGCUGGCGGCAGGCUUAACACAUGCAAGUCGAGCGCCCCGCAAGGGGAGCGGCAGACGGGUGAGUAACGCGUGGGAAUCUACCCAUCUCUACGGAAUAACGCAUGGAAACGUGUGCUAAUACCGUAUACGUCCUUCGGGAGAAAGAUUUAUCGGAGAUGGAUGAGCCCGCGUUGGAUUAGCUAGUUGGUGGGGUAAAGGCCUACCAAGGCGACGAUCCAUAGCUGGUCUGAGAGGAUGAUCAGCCACACUGGGACUGAGACACGGCCCAGACUCCUACGGGAGGCAGCAGUGGGGAAUAUUGGACAAUGGGGGCAAGCCUGAUCCAGCCAUGCCGCGUGAGUGAUGAAGGCCCUAGGGUUGUAAAGCUCUUUCACCGGUGAAGAUAAUGACGGUACCGGAGAAGAAGCCCCGGCUAACUUCGUGCCAGCCGCCGCCGUAAGAC